rnacentral:rRNA from 1 species
GAUGAACGCUAGCGGCAGGCUUAACACAUGCAAGUCGAGGGGCAGCGCGAUGUAGCAAUACAUUGGCGGCGACCGGCGCACGGGUGCGUAACACGUAUGCAACCUUCCCGCCACUGGGGGAUAGCCCGGAGAAAUCCGGAUCAAUACCCCAUAAUUCCCUGGGAGGCAUCUCCCGGGGCUGAAAACUCCGGUGGUGGCGGAUGGGCAUGCGCACGAUUAGCAGUUGGUGAGGUAACGGCUCACCAAGGCUACGAUCGUUAGGGGGCCUGAGAGGGUUAUCCCCCA